CUGCUGCCUUCCGUAGGAGUCUGGUCCGUGUCUCAGUACCAGUGUGGGGGACCUUCCUCUCAGAACCCCUACGCAUCGUCGCCUUGGUGGGCCGUUACCCCGCCAACUAGCUAAUGCGACGCAUGACCAUCCGUAGCCGGAAUCGCUUCCUUUAAACCCGAGGACGAUGCCUCCUCGGGUUGUUACGCGGUAUUAGACGGAAUUUCUUCCGCUUAUCCCCCUGCUACCGGGCAGGUUUCAUACGUGUUACUCACCCGUGCGCCGGUCGCCGGCGG
rnacentral:rRNA from 1 species